rnacentral:rRNA from 1 species
AUUGAACGCUGGCGGCAUGCUUUACACAUGCAAGUCGAACGGCAGCACGGACUUCGGUCUGGUGGCGAGUGGCGAACGGGUGAGUAAUACAUCGGAACGUACCCAGUAAUGGGGGAUAACUAUACGAAAGGAUAGCUAAUACCGCAUACGCCCUACGAGGGAAAGAGGGUGUUCUUAGGACCACUUGUGAUCGGAGCGGCCGCUGGCUGGUUAGCUAGUUGGUGAGGUAAAGGCUCACCAAGGCGACGAUCAGUAGCGGGUCUUAGAGGACGAGCCGCCACACUGGAACUGAGGCACGGUCCAGACACCUACGGGAGGCAGCAGUGGGGAAUCUUGGACAAUGGGCGCAAGCCUGAUCCAGCAAUGCCGCGUGCGUGAAGAAGGCCUUCGGGUUGUAAAGCGCUUUUGUCAGGGAGCAAAUCCUUGUGGCUAACACCCACCGGGGAUGAGAGUACCUGAAGAAUUAGGACCGGCUAACUACGUGCCAGCCGCCGCGGUAAGAC